AUCACGUCGCCCCUCUCAGAGGUCUGAAACAGCCAAUCACGUCGCUCUGAAACAGCCAAUCACAGAGACACCAGCAACUCAACCAAGCAAGAAGCUUCCGGUCAGAGAGCUGAGGCGAAUGCGGAGGUCCCAUAAACCUGUAUUCUAUUGUAAAUCCAGCAGGGGGCGACUCUUCUGGUUGCAAAAAGAAGUCCGGCUCCAUCAGAAUGAGGGCCAGGACGAGCAGCAGCAGACCGGCCAGCAGGCUCACAGUGGGAAUCAGGAUGUAGCGGAGAAGUCGAAGAUGAUUGGUCGUUCCCAGCUUGUGAGGACACGCCUCCCCGCCCAUCCCGGCCUCGGGUCCUCGAGCCGGAGUCUGGAGGACACACUAAGAUGAGUUCACUUUCAUCUGACUUUCUCUCUGCCAACUGAUUCCAGAGGUGAGACAGAGAGCAGCUCUCGGGACCAGGAGCCGAGACACGGAGGAGGACAGAGGACAGAGGACAGACACAAGGACAGCAGCACAGAGAGAAGGCAGAGAGAGCCUCACAGACAGCGGGGAGAGAGAGAGAGAGAGAGAGAGACUCACCGUUACAGAUCCAGCUCCGCUGAAGGUGACACGCGGGCAGGUCUCCAGCCGCGCGGACAACAUGACCUGAUGCUGCCCGCCGCUGAGCGCGAGACCAUCCCUCUGCCUGCAGGAGCAGCUCCGCUAACUAACAGAGCACGAGACGCGCUGGCUCCGCCCCCUCAGACUCUCCCUCCCUCUCUCUCCACGGUGAAUGUCAGUGUCGC